AUGGCAGAGGCCUUAGCUCUCAAAUUUGGCCUAAAUUUAGCGCAAAGGGCAGGAUGUAAUCGCCUAAUCAUCAACUCUGACAAUCUGGAGGUGAUUGAGACCAUGCAGGACGGAGGACAAUCAACGGGAGCGGCGGCGGCAAUCUUCGAUGACUGCUAUCACUAUGCUUGUGAUUUUAUCAUGGCUAAAUUUGAACAUUGUAAUAGAGAGGCAAAUAAAGUAGCACAUGAACUUGCUAGAUUAGCUAGGUUUUUUCCGACUUCGGAUUGGUUUGAGGAGCCUAUUACUGAACUCACAAACGAUGUAUUGGUUAUUGAUAAUGAAUAA
rnacentral:rRNA from 1 species